rnacentral:lncRNA from 1 species
GGGAGGGGGCGCCCCGCCGCCCCGCCGCCCUGAGGGCACCAACCGGCCCGUCACGGCGCGGCGUGGCGCUGCCCCUCAGCGAGGCGCUCCCGAGCGGGCCAGCCCCGGCCGUGCCUUUAGCAUGUGGUAAAGAGCACGGGCCGCUGCCCCGGGUUGAAGGCGGCAGCCCGUGUUGUACCGUUACGCGGGAGCCAACGGCCGCCGCGCGGCGCGGCGCGGCCCCUCGGGAGUUACCGAGGGGAUUCCGUAACGGGAGGAUCGAGUUUGCUUUUCCGCUAGUUCAACAUGUUCCGGAUUUGUCCUUGUGUGUGGAGUCUUUCAUGCCUCACCGUAUAAGCCAUGUUCAUUAAAUAAGGCAAAAUGUCUGAAGGCAGAUAUUGCACCAGCAGGAAAAAAAGCAGCCCUCAAAGGGGAUAUUCUGUGGAGAAAGCUGCAUUUAAACUCAAGAUAUGCACAAGAAAAAAAUACCAGGAAUGAAGAAAAGAAAACUAAAAGGACAUUUGUACAUGUGUCUGGAGCUGAAGAAUGAAUAUUAGCAUCUAAGAAGUCUCCUAUAUCUGAAGUCACUUUACACCCGCUAUCCCAGUAGUAAUCUCAAGUCUCCUUCAGAAAUUUUCUCCUGUAUUACAUUUAAGAUAAAGAUUCCACCAAAAGUAUGUAUUCCUUUUAGUGCCAAUAGUUUUCCCUCUUGAACUUUAUUAAAAUCAUAUUUCAGCAAUUGCAAAACAGCGUCCAAUGAACUAGACCUAUGGGAAAUCGGCAAAAUAAAUAUCUUUUCCUCGCUAGAUCUUCA